rnacentral:rRNA from 1 species
AUGGCCAUUCAGGCCUUGACUCUGAAUUUUGUCCGAGCGGCUGUGAAACCGGAUCCAUUGCCUCGUCAGAAUGCUUGGAAGAAGCCACUGUCCGGGAUGCAGGUUCUGAACGUAGAUACUUCAUUUAUGGAAGAUGAUCAUACGGGAUCCUGCGGAAUGGUAGUGAGAGAUCAUAACGGUGGAUUUAUAGUAGCAGCAGUAACUCAGCAUGUUGCGAAUGCAGUAGCAGCUGAGGCCGAGGCUAUGCACCAGGGUAUCAUGUUCAUACGCGGCCUCGGGUGUGAUAGCAUUGUGAUACAGUCUGAUAGCUUGAUCAUCGUGGAAGCACUGAGGAUGAAUGAAGGGUAUGCUUUGGUGGCAGCGCCAAUUCUUGAGGAUUUCCGUAAGUUAUCUGCAGAUUUUGGGAAGGUCAUUAUCGAACAUUGUAGUAGAGAAUCGAACAUGGUUGCUCACGAGCUUGCUAGCUAUGGGAGGGGUAAUCCACCGACGGUGUGGUCGGAUACUCCCCCCUCUUUCAUUUUAAAUGCUUUAGCAAACGGUGUAAGUUUAUUAUAA